ensembl:lncRNA
GGCAUAUUGAGUGCUGGCAGCACUUUCACUGCAUCAUGCUUAAGGAUUUUAAAUAGCACAACGAGAAUUCCAUUGCCUCCCCUAGUUUUGUUGUUAGUGAUGCUUCCUAAGACCACUUAACUUCUCACUCCAAGAUAUCUGGCUCAAGAGACGCUGCUUCUUGUCGGCAAUUCCGGUUCCUGACGAAAGAGCUUUGCUGUGUUGCCGGCCGGGGUCGAGCUUCCACAGAGCAUCUGGUGAAGCAUGUGUUGAUUGCAAGCAGGCAACACCCAAGCUGCUUUUCAAAGCCUGAUUUUGUGAUUCCAUCAGAUUGUUGCCAGCUACAUGGAAAAGGAAGCUUCAGUUAUAUUGAAAAUCAGAGCAGUAAAGAAGGAGAAAAAGAAGCGUUUUCACUGGAAGAUUCAAGAACUGCUCUAGUAGGUAGGGAUGUCUUUGGAGAAUUCAGGAGUUCACAGGCUGACUUACAAGUGUUUGAAUUAUGGGAGAAAGUGAAGAGAGG